AGGUCGGACGUGCCCGGAGUGGGCGAAAGGAGCGAAGGGGACUCGGCCGCCAUGUUAGGAGUGCUGGGACGAUUCUGCGGAUCCCGGCUGAGGUUUUAGGGAGCUUGCGAGCCGAGUGGUGGUGCAGUGGGGACGAGUCUGUCUACACUGUGAAAGAUGGAAAAUUUCUUUUCCUCCUGAGGGUGUCUGAAGUGUUAAAAAUGCAAUAAUACUUUAUGCUGUUUUUCUCCCUUUUGCACAAUUAUUCUGAAAACAAAACUUGUUACUUUGGGUCAGUAAGGGUAUGCAUUUCACCUCUCUGUUAGUAAUACUACAGGUGAUGAAUGUAUUCUAUCAGGAAAGGCUAAGCAGAGUGAUUAGAAAUGAUAAAAACAUGGUAGAAACAGUCUUUCAGAUGUAUGCAGAUGACAACUUCAAAAACAUAGAAGAAUGGUCUGCCAUGUUUCUGAGAACAAGUCACAAGAUGAAAGGCUUUAUUUCAUUUUUAACAAAAGUAAUAUGUGUUGGUUUCAUUUAUCCAUGCAAUACAAUGGGAAAGACUCAUACAAAUAUUUCUGUUCAGAAAUACUGUCUUUGCAAGUAAUGGUAAGUAUAGGAAAGGGAGCAAAAUGUUUGCUGUUUUCUUUCUGACCUUCAGUAUAACUGUAGAAGUGUUUCACUUUUUUUUUAAUGUUUACUUAUUUUUGAGAGAGAGAAUAUGAGCAGGGGAGGGGCAGAGAGAAUGGGAGACAGGAUCGAAAGCACUGACAGCAGAGAGCCCUGCCGCUUAACCGACUGAGUCAGGUGCCCCUAACUGUUUUACAUUUAACAGAGAGAAAAUUGGUCAGGUUUGCAUUUAGGCUUAGUUUCAAACUCUUAAAUUAUUUUUAGGGGUUGGUGGUUCACUCGUGUGUCUUAUUUUACAAAGCUUUAGUGAAUCUUGUUCGUUGUACAAGAUAUUUCUUUAUAUAAGCAAUAACAUCCUCAAUCUGAGUUACUAUGGAAGACAAAUUUGCAGGGGUAGGGGGCAGAUUGCUUACAGAUCUUGUAUGUGAGAAACUAGACCUAUAUGAUGCAGUGAUUUCUGUAGUGUAAUUUGUCAUAUGUUUAGGUAGUUUGAAGUUUUCCAGGCUUACAUCCAGCGGACAUCUAACCAUAAAGAAAUGAAACAUCUAUUUAAUAUCUUUAAAAAGACUCUGAUUUAACCUUUAACUUUUAGGGGGAAAAGUCUGCAUCCUUCUUUAGAAAUUUUAUUUCCAAAGUUAAUAUUUGAGGAAUUGGACACCAGCUUCUGAAAGAUUAGCCUCAGUGAUCCAGAGAAAGCACUGGGUUAGGUGAACGUUGAAAAGUGGGAUUAGGAAUGCUUGAGGUGGAUAAAGCAACUUAAGUUCUUUUCAUCUCAGAAAAGAAUUAGGAUAUUGAUUUGUGUUAUAGGUAGCUUAUUAAAGAGUAUGGAGUCAUUUGCUCUUAUGGCAGGGUUUUUUUUCAACAGCUUCAAGUGUCAGGAUCACAUAGAGAACUCUAAAAAUAUAUAGCUGAGAACUCUAAAAUAAAAUAAAAAUAUAUAGAGAACUCUAAAAAUAUAAAAUAAAACAGAUAGUUGUCCACUCAUCUGUUGAAUUAUUGUUGAGUUAUUCUGUUAGGUUGGAACCCAUUGUGUAUUUUUAAAACUAUGAGUGAGUGGACAGUGGUAGGGUAGACUAGUUCUCUACAUCCCAUAUUUGUGUUUAUUGUGGUGCAUUACACUAGUAAUAAUAAAACUUUUGGCAAAGAUUACAGGCUUGUUAGUAAUUAUACCCAUAAAUGAAUUCUGAAAAUGUGUAGAUGAGGAAAUGAUCUGGGGAUCAGUCUAUACAUUGGUGAGGGGAGUGGGUUUGGGAAGAUUUAGUUUAGCCUUAUGAGUACCAUGAUAUCUUGAAUUAUCUGGAUAUUUCUUAGAGUUGAGUGUAAUACUAAGAAAAUAAGGAUAAGAGACACUUAUUGAAUAAGAGCUCAUGCUAUCACAAGGUUAUGGUAAAGCUAUUCAGAUUUUUUUUUUUUUUUUUUUUUUUUUUUUUUUUAAUUUUAGAGAGCAGGAGUCUGGAAAAAGGGCAGAGAGAGAGAAUCCCAAGCAGGCUCCAUGCUGAGCAUGGAACCCAAUGUGGGGCUUGAUCCCACAACCCUAGGAUCAUGACUGGAGCUAAAAUCAAGUCAGGUACUCAACCUGUUGAGCCACCCAGGUGUCCCAAGCUAUUCAAAUAUCUAAAAGAAGUAUCUAAAAAAAAGGCAACAAGAUAACUAGAAUUUUUUGAAAAUAACUUUUCUCUUCAAUAACUCCUUUCCUUGCUGUGAAUCCUAAGUUUUUUAAAUUGGUGAUGUCAGGGUGCCUGAGUGGCACAAUCGGUUGAGUAUCUGACUCGGUUUCAGCCUAGGUCAUGAUCUCACAGGUUCAUGAGUUUGAGCCCUGUGUUGGGCUUUGUGGUGGAAGCGUGGAGCCUGCUGGGACUCUGACUCACACUCUCUCCCUCCCUCCCUCUCUCUUUCUCUUUCUCUCUCUCUCUCUCUCUCUCUCUCUCUCUCUGUCCAUCCUGUGCUCAUGCUCUCUCUGUUUCAAAAAUAAAUAAACUUUUAAAAAUAAAUAAAGAUGUUAUCUUAUGUAGAGAGACGAGUCCUAAAAGUGCAGUGACAAGAGAAUUGGAAAGCAGGGGGCUAAGAUUCCAGGAGCCGAAGCAUCAGUCCCCUGGCUCAAGCCUCUUUUAUUUUUGCAAAUUGUCUGAUGGCAGCAAGCACAUACAACAUAGUAUUUGGCAUCUUGACAGGUCACGCACCUGCAGUGUAUUCCAUACUGGGUCAUGGCACCAGACCAUGGGUCAUGGGUCUGGCACCAGACAAAACAUUCUUAUCCCCAGGCCUCGCGCCUGUAUGAUGUCCUUCUGGAGAGAACGAGCAGUCCCAGCAGCUUUCCGUCCUGAGAAUGAAACUGCUUUUGGUUUCUUGCUGUUCUGUCCCUUUCCUUCAGGACAUUCUUCCAGUGCCUCCAGCUUCUUAUUCUCCAACAAUCUUAGUAUUCUUGGUAUUUAGGUGAAUGGUAUACAAUAGAGUAUCUUUUUUUUUUUGUAAGUUCCAAAUUCUUUGAUUCAUUACUGAAUUUGUCUGGACUCUUUGCAUUCAAAAUCCUGUAACAUUCUGUCAUCUGUGUCUGCUAAGGAAUGAAUACAACAUUCAAGAGGACAAGCAUUUUAAAUUAUGAAAGCAGUCCUAGAAUUCAGGCACUUAAUGGGUCCAUCUUUAGUUGAGGGAAGUCCUAUUGGAUAUGGAAUGUGAAGACUGACUUCAGUAUUUUGAGGAAUAUUGGCUUCCAUUCCUGCUGCUUCAGUGUGAAAUCUACCUUGAAUAGCUUGCUCAGUAUCGCAGAAAUUAGUAACAUUCUAAGCCUCAUUGAUAAUAGCAGCCUCUAGGGAUGUUGAUGAAGAUUAAACAAAAAUAAUUGUGUAAAACAUUUAGGAAAGGAUUUUGGAAUAUGUAAAUUUGCUGUGGAUCUUUUUUUUUUUUUUUUUUAAUUUUUAACAGUUGGGUAAAUGGUAAUUUUUUUAUUGGAUGCUUUUAAAAAUUAGCCACAGAGUAGUUUAGAGUCAUAAGGACAGAGGUUACCUUAGAUGUACUCUUCCAACAAUUUGGUCAAAUUUUACAUGACCAAGUUCCUAGCAAAAUAGUUCCAUUUCUUCCUUUGAUACAGUGAUAUGGGGCAACAAUCUUUUUCAGCCCAUACUGCAUAAAAGAAGUGUUAUAUAUAUUAAAAAGUUCUAAAAUAAUACUUUUCUAUGCCAACCUAUAAAAUUUGAGAGAACAACUAUCUCUUUUGCUAUCUUUAUCUCUUUUCCAAAAUAGAAAUAAUUUUCUUAACCUUUCUCAGAAAUGAAAUGCCAGCAACCCAAAGGUGAUAUAGACCCAACAAGUACAUUAAAAGUUAUUCUAACCUGAUCACAGAGUUGAGACAAGUAAACUUAAAGGGGAAAAAACAUUUUAUGAAAACAUCUUUACAGACCUCACCUUAGAUUAAGUUAGAUGUUUUCUAGUGUACAUUUCUAUGAGUGAACACAGCAUGUGCCAUACAGGGUUUAGCGGUUGGACUUUCUCUAGGGAAGAUCUUAACACAUUCUGGAAACUUUAAUAUUUCAUAUUUUAAAUACUUUGAGUUAAUAUUCAGGAAACUAAAAUGUAUGUUUUCUAGUCUUAGAUGACGCAUGGUGUUUGAAACAAAUUGGCAUAAUUUUAGCUGCUGGAGUUUAUAGGCCACUGAAGGUAAAUGCAGUAAAUAUCCCAAGGUCAAGAUUUAAAAUCCAAAUGUCCAUAGUUGAUGAUUAACCAGAAAAGUGAGCCCUAUUUAUCUUGUGAUUUGAUUUCUCAGUUUUUAAUAGGUUUGGAUAAUUUUAACACUAGAAAAUAUUUCUUUGCAGAAGUAUAUGAAGAUGAAUUUAAUCAAACAUAAAUGUUUAUGAAUAUAAAGCCUUUUAAGGAAACUGCAGAAAUAUGCAGUUGUAAGCAAUUAUGUAAGUAUGCACAUACUGAAAAUUCUUAACUUGGUACAUAGACAUUGAGGGUGCUAUAUGGAUUUGAACUUGCUGUGAAGGUCAAUCCUCAGUCAUAUCAUAAACCCUUUUAGGACGUGUUCAUCAUUUACCCUCUUAACACCUAACUCAUGAGUUGAUGAAUUAAGCACAUAGAUGUUUAUCAAAUUGAAUAGCUUUUUUAAGUUUUUAAACAUGGUCAAGUAAAGCAGUUGCAGAAGUGGUAAUAUAAGAGUAAACUGCAAAUAACAUUGACAUACUAGAGCAUUUACUUUACAAUUGACAUAUUGAUACUAAAGAGCAACUUCUAUAAGUAUAGUAAUAAAUGACCUUUACCACUCUCGUCCUAUUUCAGUGAAAUACUGUACUAACAAUAGUGUGGUACAUUUCCUUUGUCUCAGUUAUGAAUGUGGUGAAAGUUAAGUGUUACUUUUGGUGAUGAACUUUACAUUUAUUACCUUCUUUAGCUUUUGACAGUCUCAGUGCAAGCAUCUCCAUUUCAAUGCCACUUUGUUUACUUUGUGUAUUUAAUGCUGGGUUUUAUGCCUGUUUUGAGUUUCAGUCCCAUGACCCAUUUUCAGUAUUCAUUUUUGUGUGUCUUUUCAAAAUUGUUUGCUUCUCUAUUUCCUGCUUGUCUUGAGAUAAUUUAUGAGCAAUUUUUGUUGCUUUUCAUGUUACUGUGUAUUUGCUUGAGAUGGGUUGCUGGACUUUCUCAUUUUGCAGAUAAACUCUGCUCUUUCACAUUCCUGGGACCUGUUUGGCAUUUGUUGGAGUACUGGGUUGCUAAUAAUGGAAAAGCUGAAGAAUCGAGUACUGAGAAGAAGCCAGAAUUGAGGGGUUUGGGGAGUGAAUGAAUGGGAGUGGGGUAAGAAGUAGGUACUUAAUGUAGAUAAUUUGUUUUAUGAAGUUUGGCUCUGAAAGAGGCAAGAAAUAAUAGGAUAUAAAAAGAGGGCAUGUGGGAUUGAAAGAGGGUUUAUAUUAAAUCUUCCUACUUAGAGGCCAAAAUCACACUACUUCAGGGCACUCUGAUCAUUUCUCAAAGCAAUCAGGAUUUAGGAUUCUACCCUGCUCUGAAUGGGGCCAGGAGAGGAGGGAAAGAGCUCUGAAGUACUUUUGUAAUUUUUUUCUACAUUAUACUCCGUACUUUCCAUUUGAUUUGAUUAUUUUUCCUUUCCAGUUCCUUCAAGGGUUUUCAUGGCUACCAUUUGACCAACCUUCUGCUUGAAGAAUAGUGCAUUUUUAUGACAAUUCCAAAAAAGAGUAGCAAUGACCAAGAGCCUAGGCUUCUUUCGAGAACUUAUUGGUCCUAAAAAGGUGGUGUUUGCCCUUUAUACCUAUAUCAUUAAUACUUACCAAGCAAACCUGACUGAGAUCCUCACAAUCACUGUUAGAGAAAACAGUGCUCAUUUGAACCAGGAGAUUAAACUUGAACAAAAUUUGUCCUUGUCUAGCUGUGGUUUUCAAGAUACAUUACCUAGAGGAGGAGAAAUCUGAAAUAGAUUCUUUAAGUUAUUUACAUAAGGAAGGUAGGAUUGUGGAAAUAGAGAAAAAUGCACGAGAGAAAAGCAUCUAACAUCUUAGGGCAACAAAGCCCUCAACAAAAAAUCCGUUUCUGACAGUUAUGAACUAAAUUCUCCAUUGCUUGAACUCACUAUCAUUACCCAAUAAUUUAAGUGAGCUGCUGCUUCCCUUCAGAGGUUUAACUAGCAGAAUAAAUAGGUGUCAGCAAGAGAACAGCUAAGACAGGUAAGGAUUCUGUAUAAUCAAAAAUCUCAAAAGAAGUUGGUUAUUACUAGAUCCUGACACUCUGUAUGUCCAAAUAUGUUUCAUUUCCUUUGAUGAAAUAGGUACCAGAAGAAAUAACUGGAAGUAUUUCUGAGAAAAGACUUGUGGCUACCAAUUGAAUUGCUGUUACCAAGUUACAUUUUGAACACCAAGGCAUUGUGCAAAGCCCCAUACAUCCAACAUGACUCCCAAGUUAGCUAACACUUGACUUUGUGUCCAGGCUAAUAACUGUUUCUCGCAAAUGUAAGGCUGUCCAGCGCUCUUACCACAUCAACUGUCUGGAAGGAGGAAAAAACAUGAAAAUAAAUGUUAACUAUGUAAUUGUUUGUUGUCAUGGGCCCAAAGUUAGACCCAGAUUUGGAAACCUAUCAAAUACUCCUGCUUACUACUGUUAAUGUGGGUAAUUAUCUUAAUUGUUAAUAUUAAGUAUUAAUACUUACCUGCUCAGUAGUCUAAGAUAAGAAAUAGACUUCAUACAGGUUCAUUUGUGUGCCUGAGCCCAUUCUGGUUUUCAGUAGAAACUGGAAAGUUAUUUAUGGCCCAUUGUAACUUAAGAUAACCCUAAAUUUCUGGAAUAUAUCUUGGUGUUGUAUAGAAUUCACUUCAAGUUCACUUAAUAGUUCACAGGAAACUGAAAAAUAAUUUUUCUUAUAGUGCUGGUGAGCACAUCCUGUUAAAAUACUUGUGAACUAGUUGAGGUCAAGAUAGAACUACAGCCUACUUAUCACGUAUUUGCCAAUAGUAGUAUAAAUUAUGGAUAAAUCCUUUUAAGAUCACAACUUGAUUGUGGAAAUUUGCUUUAGUAAAAAGUAAGGACUUCAACAAA